GGGGGGUUGAGCUGCGGCGGUCCCGGUGCUCCCGCAGUGCCCCUCCCGAGCUGCCAGGCUGGAUUUUAUGGGAAUAUCGAUAGAAUUAAAGUUCCUUGUAAUUCCGUGAUAAAUGGGGUGUCUCUAGUAAGUAAGAUGAAGUGCGGUGCCGUGAAGUUGUUUAUCUGGAAAGUAAUUCUCAGAAACCUGACUUCUGACACUUGGUCAUAUAUUAAACCGGCGUCUUGAACGUUGUACUUCAGAUGCUCCUUUUCCCCCUUCCCCUCGCAGUUUGCUAUUUAUAAGACUUCGUAGGUGCGGGUGAGUUGCUGGGUAAUUUUUCACCAACUGUGAAAAGCAUCGUUUGCAACAGCCGAAGAAUUCUCUGCUUAGGAAAUAGUACGGGGAGAGUGGGCUCACGAAUAGAUAACAUCUCCCGACCGUGCCAUUAUCGGCACAAACCCGUGCGGCUGCGCUGCUCCCGGCAGCCAAAAGGCAGGGAGGGCACGCUGCGAGGCGAGCAGGCUAACGACACCUAGAUGGGAUCGCAGAGGCGAUUCUGCAGACCUAAAGCAUGCUCCGACGGCACGAACAACAUGAGCGUGGUUCUGCGCAGCCCCAAAGACACCCGGACAUCUGCCGGGUUUAUCUUAGAGACUGCAAUUAGUGACAAACCGAGUGCAACUCGGCUUGGCUUUCCUAUUCCUGCACACCAUCGGAACCAGCAAAAGUUCCCAGCUCACAGCAUAACCCCCCCCCCGCCCUCCAGGACGGCCCCAUUCCCCAGACUUGUUUUUCCCAUUGCAAGAUGAAUGUGGCACUGUAUGUCACUUAACGCGCUCGCCUAUGAGAGGCACAAAAAGUGAAGGUUAUUGCUUUUUGGAACGCACACUCGCAGUGUUCCACUUGCACGUUUGAUGGAUGUCUGUGGAAACACAGCUCCGGCCCCAUCAAACUGUUUGGAUUCAGAGUGCUCCUCUUGCAAACCAGUAGAUUUCUGAGUAAACUUGAGACGAAGAGCACAAAUUUGGGUGAGCUAAGGGGGAGCCUCUUCCUUAGCACUGAUGUGGGUGAGUGCAUGCGGAGCUCUGACCUCCAGGGCAGCACUGGAGUUACUGUACAGCAUUGUUCUGGUGUGAUGAUUGCAGAGCUGCCGCCCCAAAACGGCACGGCGUAGCAGAGAGAAAGGAUUAUUAGCAAUUUUUUGGAUCACCUUCAGGAGCAGCAACGCUCUCCUCCCUCCCCUCCGCCAUUCUCACUGUAGUGCUAUUUUCCUUUAUUAUUUGGCUAUUCACGACGGCUGUCUAAACAUUUACAGUCCCCUAUUAACAGCGUUUCUCCCCAAACAAUCGCACGCUUUCAUUUCAAUUAGAGCCAUUCAGGCUCGGGUUUUGCCACCAGGCCACGUCCCAGCCCCGCUCCCUUUCCCAGCACGGACCCAGGCAGCGCACAGCCCACAUCCCCACACCUCCUGCUCACAUCCCCACACCUCCUGCCCUGCUCCAGGUUAGGAGCUCAGACCACGACGCGUUCUGCCCUGGGUGCGGAUCAAGAACAACACAUUAAGAACAGUUACCGCUCCCUUUGUUUGCCCGGUGUCUGAUUUUUAUGGUGCAGAACUAAAGAGUGCCCGCUGAAUUUGACUAUGGAAGCGGGCAAAUUGCUUUCCAAAAGGCUUCUUCGGAGCACAGUGAUAAGGCACAACCCGCUCCUAGGUGCAGCGCCAGAUAAAUCCUUUUAACAGUCCUCAGAUCAGUUAACAGGGUGUCUUUUUUAUUAAGUGGAGCACCAGCAUAUGUACCACGCAUCCCGAUUUGCUGGUGGUGCUGCGGUGUCGGAGCAGAGGGAACAGAAGCAGCGGCAAACAAACGCCAUCGAUUAAUAUCUGUUUUUGCAUCGGUGUUGCCGAAUCCAUCAUUUCCACUGCUUGCUUAUCGUGUUUCUGAAACACUCAGAAUAUCCCAAAUAAGCCCGUGUGAUCCAGAAGGAACUUCUCUCUCGGGCUGGAGGUUGGUGCCACCAGGUUUGUGCUGCACUCACCCUAUGAUGCAUGUCCCACUUUACUCGUCUCCAUGAAUGGUUCAGCCUGGAUGUGAAAAUCAAUACAGACGUCCCUGAUGCCAAAAACCUAUUUGUCUAAAAGAUAUAAAAAGUGAAAUUGCAAUAAAGAUUUUUAUCGGGCUUUAUGGUGGAAUUCGUCAUUUAUAACUGGGAUGAUGAUGUUGGGUUAUAUAACGUGUUCGCUCUCAAAUUAGCUGAUGUGAGUAAAUAGAGGUAAUCUGGUAAAAUCUGGUGCCCAGGUUGAUCUCUGCAGAAAGCUACAGUUAAAGGAGGAGAAGAAAACAGUCACAUCAAUAUCACACCACUGAGCUGUCCCAGCAAAGCCCUGUGAUACGCACGAGGCGUUGGUAUCUAUUUUAGCUCUGGAAAAUCCUUGCUGCUUCUCUCCCUUCUGCUCUGCACUGAGUUGUUUCGGCAGCAAGGAGCAGUGGCAGCAUGAAAUAAUAUGUGAAUUUUAUGUGCUCUCUCUUCCUCAAAGCUGACUACCAGUGAGUGGCGAGGGGGGCACGAUACGGAGGUGGUGUUUUGAUGUGUGACUGCGAAGGGUGAGACGGCCAUUAUUAAGAGUGAUCGACUUCAGUGACUUUUAAACAAAGCUGUGAUUUAAUGUCUUAAAGCCCGAGAUGGCACAGACUUGUCGUUAGUUGGCGUGGUGGGCUGAGUGCCAUGCACUGGGCUUAUCUCGUGUGAGUAAAGCAUAGAAAUGUGUGGGGUAAGUGAUGGGGUCUUCGGCAGCACAAGGCUCUUGGCUUGCGUGGCCUUAUGGCAGAGGGGGGCUGUGCCAACGGGAGCACAUAAGGAUCUCACGUUACCUCCAACCUUCAAUUAUCGUGCUGAAUCUGGCCUAACCUGCUUAUCUCCUGAGAAUUACUCACUGGGUUUUGGCAGGAGGAGGUGUCAAUGAAAAUGAGACAGUUCUGGAGCCAGCAUCGCUGCCAGCAGCCAGGGCUUAAUUCUGGGCAGAGCUGGGGACAGUGUGUUCCUCUCCCUGCCAUGGCUCCAGCUGCUCCCAUCCCCAGCCCUCUCCACCAGAACUGAGAACAACCUGCAUUUCCCAGGAUUGCUUUACGGAGUCUUGGUGCAGAGAAGUGCAUGUUGUGAUGACAUCUGACGUCGUCCAGUGGCAUUCAUUGUCCACACCAAGCGGGAAUGGAAAGUUUCACGCCCCCUUCCCCUCCUGCUCCCCAGCAUUAGCUCACCAUUGUGGCGGGGCUGGGCAAACCACUUUGCAUUGGCCUCCAUCCGGAGUCCGGGUCAUGGGGAAAUGCUAAUCCUUAACAAAAAAGGAAAUGAUAAAAAUACCCAUGAAAUUAAUUUCCACACCUGCAGUCGAGAUUAAUAACAGCAACCGGAGUGGCAUCCCAUUUCAGUUCCCUGGAGGUGACUGACAGCCCUGGCCAUGAAUAUCAUACCAACCACCAGAGGAAUUCACUGUCUGAGGGAUCCACCGUGGAAAACAAUUGAUCCCCAGAGCUCCGCCUGCACAAUGGAAAAUGGCUUUAGUCAUGUAUUAGUCAUUUUAUCACAAGAUGGUAUUUCUGCACUGGGAGGUUUGCCCUCUGAGCCCAGCACAGAAGAACGGCGUUUGGCUUGGUUAAUUCAUGCCAGUUUCCCGUGUGCUUUAUUACUGUCUGUGCUUUGCAUCGGCCCCGCACGUCCCUGUGAGCGGCACUGGUAAUUCACCGAGAUGGAAGCGCGCUGUCACAGUGAGGAAUCAGGAUGCCAACAUCUUCGUAUCACCAAAAUUAAACAGGUCCCCUAACUAAUAUACCGGGAUGUGUGAGAAUAUUGCUGUGACUCAUAAUCAGAGCUGCGCAGUCCAAACCCAAACUGGAUUUGGAGUGGUUGGGGCAAGGGCGAAAUUACAAAAAUAAAGGCAAUGAGAUGUGGAAGAGGAGUGAACGCCCACAGCAAACCAACGAUCUGCAUCAGCAGCCAGAAAAAUGGCUCCACCUUCCUGCUGAAAGACACAAUUAUUUCCCCGUAUUCACGCUGUGUUACUUGCUCAGUAGCUCACAUCAUUGAUUGGGCUCCAUUAUACCAAAUUCUAGAAUGCCUGAAGAGCUAAGUAUAAAGCAGGAGACAACAGAUACAAAAAUAGACGUGGACCACGAGGUAACCAUGAAACACCCUGCGUUGGGAUUGUCUCCUGCAAGCUGGGGUGAAUCAGUGCAAGGCAGGAGAUCACAAAGGAUAUCGGUGAAUAACCACCAUUAAGACACUUGUCCCACUGUGUUGGACACCACGCUAUCUUUCACAAAGUCUGUGACCGAAUGGCGUGCAAAAAUAAGGAUUGUGAUCCCUAGAGAUAACAUUACUCACCCUCAUUUAUUUUUUUCUCUGAAUAAAAGUCACAGUCUCCCAGCAAUAGCCAUUCUCAGCUGUGCCAUAGCAUUCUGAGUUCUGCCUUGCCAGUUUCCUGGCAGAUCCAGCAGCUAUCAGGUUCCUUGCUUGUUUCCUCUCCAGCCACGUGAUGUUUACAGUUAUUGGGUUUGAACAAACGGAGCAAAUUCAAUCGAAGAUGAUAUAUAAUAUAACAUAAUAAAAAUGAAAUGCACUUUACAUUUG
ensembl:lncRNA